rnacentral:rRNA from 1 species
AGAGUUUGAUCCUGGCUCAGGACGAACGCUGGCGGCGUGCCUAACACAUGCAAGUCGAACGGAGCUACUUUUGACGAUUUCUUCGGAAUGAAUUAGUUGUAGCUUAGUGGCGGACGGGUGAGUAACGCGUGAGUAACCUGCCUUUAAGAGGGGGAUAACGUUCUGAAAAGAACGCUAAUACCGCAUAACGUGCAGAAGUCGCAUGGCUUUUGUAUCAAAGAUUUAUCGCUUAAAGAUGGACUCGCGUCCGAUUAGUUAGUUGGUGAGGUAACGGCUCACCAAGACCGCGAUCGGUAGCCGGACUGAGAGGUUGAACGGCCACAUUGGGACUGAGACACGGCCCAGACUCCUACGGGAGGCAGCAGUGGGGGAUAUUGCGCAAUGGGGGAAACCCUGACGCAGCAACGCCGCGUGAAGGAAGAAGGUUUUCGGAUUGUAAACUUCUUUUAUUAAGGACGAACAAUGACGGUACUUAAUGAAUAAGCUCCGGCUAACUACGUGCCAGCAGCCGCGGUAAUACGUAGGGAGCGAGCGUUGUCCGGAUUUACUGGGUGUAAAGGGUGCGUAGGCGGCAUAGCAAGUCAGAUGUGAAAUGUAUGGGCUUAACCCAUGAACUGCAUUUGAAACUGCUAAGCUUGAGUGAAGUAGAGGUAGGCGGAAUUCCCUGUGUAGCGGUGAAAUGCGUAGAGAUAGGGAGGAACACCAGUGGCGAAGGCGGCCUACUGGGCUUUAACUGACGCUGAGGCACGAAAGCGUGGGUAGCAAACAGGAUUAGAUACCCUGGUAGUCCACGCUGUAAACGAUGAUUACUAGGUGUGGGGGGUCUGACCCCCUCCGUGCCGCAGUUAACACAAUAAGUAAUCCACCUGGGGAGUACGGCCGCAAGGUUGAAACUCAAAGGAAUUGACGGGGGCCCGCACAAGCAGUGGAGUAUGUGGUUUAAUUCGAAGCAACGCGAAGAACCUUACCAGGUCUUGACAUCCAGUAAAAACCUGAGAGAUCAGGUGUGAGCUUGCUCAUACUGAGACAGGUGGUGCAUGGUUGUCGUCAGCUCGUGUCGUGAGAUGUUGGGUUAAGUCCCGCAACGAGCGCAACCCUUGUGAUCAGUUACUAACGGGUAAUGCCGAGGACUCUGAUAAGACUGCCGGGGACAACUCGGAGGAAGGUGGGGGCGACGUCAAAUCAUCAUGCCCCUUAUGACCUGGGCUACACACGUGCUACAAUGGCCACUACAGAGAGCAGCGAGCUCGUAAGGGGGAGCUAAUCUCAAAAAUAACGUCUCAGUUCGGAUUGUAGUCUGCAACUCGACUACAUGAAGCUGGAAUCGCUAGUAAUCGCGAAUCAGAAUGUCGCGGUGAAUACGUUCCCGGGUCUUGUACACACCGCCCGUCACACCAUGGGAGUCAGUAACGCCCGAAGUCAGUGACUCAACCGCAAGGAGAGAGCUGCCGAAGGUGGGACCGAUAACUGGGGUGAAGUCGUAACAAGGUAACC